GACAGAGGUGCCGAGCGUUAGGCGGAAUCACUGGGCUUAAAGCGUGUGUAGGCGGGUCUGUAAGUACCUUGUGAAAUCCCACGGCUCAACCGUGGAACUGCUUGGUAUACUGCGGGUCUUGAGCCACCUAGGGGCAAGUGGAACAAACGGUGGAGCGGUGAAAUGCGUAGAUAUCGUUUGGAACGCCAAUGGUGAAAACAACUUGCUGGGGGUGUGCUGACGCUGAGACACGAAAGCCAGGGGAGCAAACGGG
rnacentral:rRNA from 1 species